rnacentral:rRNA from 1 species
UACGAAGGGGGCUAGCGUUGUUCGGAAUCACUGGGCGUAAAGCGUGCGCAGGCGGUUGUGUAAGUCUGUCGUGAAAAUCCCCGGGCUCAACCUGGGAAUUGCGAUGGAGACUGCACGGCUAGAGUGUGUCAGAGGGGGGGGUAGAAUUCCACGUGUAGCAGUGAAAUGCGUAGAUAUGUGGAGGAACACCGAUGGCGAAGGCAGCCCCCUGGGUCAAGAUUGACGCUCGAUGCACGAAAGCGUGGGGAGCAAACAGG